UACAGAGGGUGCAAGCGUUGCUCGGAUUUACUGGGCGUAAAGCGUACGCAGACGGUGAGAAAGGUCGGAUGUGAAAGCCCCGGGCUCAACCCGGGAACUGCAUCCGAAACCAUCUCGCUCGAGUGUGGGAGAGGGAAGCGGAAUUCCUGGUGUAGAGGUGAAAUUCGUAGAUAUCAGGAGGAACACCGGCGGCGAAGGCGGCUUCCUGGCCCAUUACUGACGUUCAGGUACGAAAGCGUGGGUAGCAAACAGG
rnacentral:rRNA from 2 species